AUGCUGACCGGGUGGUCGAGGC
rnacentral:miRNA from 1 species